rnacentral:rRNA from 1 species
UACGGGGGGGGCAAGGCGUUGUUCGGAAUUACUGGGCGUAAAGGGCUCGUAGGCGGCCAACUAAGUCAGACGUGAAAAUCCCUCGGCUUAAACCGAGGAACUGCGUCUGAUACUGGAUGGCUUGAGAUCGGGAGAGGGAUGCGGAAUUCCAGGUGUAGCGGUGAAAUGCGUAGAUAUCAGGAAGAACACCCGUGGCGAAAGCGGCUCUCUGGAACGGUACUGACGCUGAGACGCGAAAGCGUGGGGAGCGAACAGG